rnacentral:rRNA from 1 species
UACGAAGGGUGCAAACGUUAUUCGGAAUCACUGGGCGUAAAGGGUGCGUAGACGGCUUAUUAAGUUCGUUGUUAAAGGCUCCGGCCCAACCGGAGUAUUGCGAUGAAAACUGGUAAACUAGAGGAUGAGAGAGAGAAGUGGAAUUCCCGGAGUAGCGGUAAAAUGCGUGGAUCUCGGGAGGAACACCAAUGGCGAAGGCAGCCACCUGGCAUAAUACUGACGCUGAGGCGCGAAAGCAUGGGGAGCGAACAGG